rnacentral:rRNA from 1 species
UGCGUAGGCGGUUUUAUAAGUCACUUGUAAAAGAUCUCAGCCCAACUGAGUAAGGCGAGUGAAACUGUAAGACUUGAAUACGGUAGAGGUAAGUGGAAUUCCAUGUGUAGCGGUGGAAUGCGUAGAUAUAUGGAGGAACACCAAUGGCGAAGGUAACUUACUGGACCGGAAUUGACGCUGAGGCACGAAAGCGUGGGGAGCAAACAGGAUUAGAUACCCUGGUAGUC